UACGUAGGUGGCAAGCGUUGUCCGGAUUUAUUGGGUUUAAAGGGUGCGUAGGCGGUCUAUUAAGUCAGUGGUGAAAUAUGGCAGCUUAACUGUCAGGGUGCCAUUGAUACUGAUGGACUUGAGUGAAGUCGAGGUUGGCGGAAUUGACGGUGUAGCGGUGAAAAUGCUUAGAUAUCGUCAAGAACACCGAUAGUGAAAGACAGCUAAACUAGACUUUAUACUGACGCUGAGGCACGAAAAGUGUGGGGGAUCAAAACAGG
rnacentral:rRNA from 1 species